UCUGAGCUGACUUCUCCAUAUUGCAUAAUUGUGUGCAUAGUUUUUUCAAGUAUUAGACGAAACUUUUUUAAAGUCAUACAGGCCAUUUUUCAUGCACAAAAUGUGAAGAAGAGGGUGAAAUGUUUAAUCAUGUAUUACGGAGACAGAACGUUUUUGCAAAAGAACUGAUCAUACAUUUAGAACUACUGCUCAACCGGAACAUCAUAUUGGCAAAAGUGGUAUGAAAAGGCUCCUUUGUCAUAAACGGUAUGACUGGAUUUAUGGUAAACCACCCCAUAAAUUACGAGCUCGCGAUGUAAAUAAAAUUUCAGAAAAUCUUCUAAAAUUAAAGCAAUACGUUCCUUAUGAGUUU